AAUUUUACUACCAGCAACCACAUGAUGGCUGAUACAACUGAUGUGAGGCGGAGCAACUUCCUAUUUGCUCCUGAAAACCUGCUUAACCUGAAGGCCAGUUCUUUCAAUUGCGUUCUCUGUUAGAGAAGUUUAGUGGCAUCAACCUUCUCACUGACCCCGGUUCAAACUAUAAGGAAGAAACAUACCGUGACUGGUGGGAGAUGAUAUAAUAAUUGAAGACUAAUUUGUCCUGAAGGUGUUCACUGGCACUGAGACCCAUGUUUUGUACAGGCCAUUCAAGUUCAUACACAACCAACUAUUGUAAACAAUGUUUUUAUGUAAGUUUUACCUACAAAUGGUCUCUGUUUUAGUAAACAGGAGUGAGAGCUGUACACAUGGAACUGCAUAUGUGUGUGUAAAGCAUUCUAUAAAUAUAUGUAUAACAAUUA